AACGGCCAUACCUGCAUGCUGAAUAUACGGGUUCUCGUUAGAUCACCAAAUUAAGCAUCAUAGGGUGCGGUCAGUUUUUGGGUGGGUGACCACCUAGGGAACCGCGUGCCGUU